UAGGGGACAGACUGUAGGGCAUGGGGAUAGGCUGUAGGGUGUAGGGGACAGACUGUAGGGCAUUGGGGAUAGGCUGUAGGGUGUAGGGGACAGACUGUUGGGCACGGUGGAUAGGCUGUAGGGUGUAGGGGACAGACUGUAGGGCAUGAGGAUAGGCUGUAGGAUGUAGGGGAUAGGCUGCAGAGCAUAAGGUGUAGGGCAUAGGGUUUGGAAAGUCGGCUGUAGGGUGUCGGGGAUAGGUUGUAGGGUUUAGGGAAUAGGCUGUAGGGUGUAGUGGAUGGGGAUAAAGGAUGCGGUAGAGGACAAGGGGGGUAAAGGUAUAAGGUCUAGGGGAUUAUGGAUAGGGUGGAGGGGACAAAGAGUAAGGAUAAGGACGGUGUGUGUGUGUGUGUGUGUGUGUGUGUGUGUGUGUGUGUGUCAGGACAUUAUUGAUGGUGCUUUUAGCAAUAAUGAUUUUACAUGAUUGUUUAUAUGAUAUAAAGUAUGUAAUACAGUGGUAUGUAUAUGUUAUAUUUGUGUAUCUUAUUCUGUGUGUGUGUGUGUGCGUGUGUGUGUGUGUGUGUGCGCGCGUGUGCGUGUGUGUGUAUGGACGGAGGCUAAUGAUUUGUCCUGUUUACUCUGGGCUCGGUGCAGCGAUACACACGCAGGAGGAAAUGGAUUCUAACCCAUCUCACUGAUCUCUUAUAUUAAACAGCUCAGCUUUCACUUAAAGUAAAUCUAGAUCCUCGUGUGUGUGUGUGUGUGUGUGUGUGUGUGUGUGUGUGUGUGUGUCUCAAGAGCCUCUGCAUUAUCGGCUCAUCGCUUUCUCAGAGUACUCUGGGUAAACAGAGGCCUUGUUUUUGUGUGUGUGUGUGUGUGUGUGUGUGUGUGUGUGUAAGUAACAUUGGGACUGUAGCAGUGGAUUAGAGGAUUAGACUAUAAUCCUGUUAUAAACACUAAAUCACACUUUGUGUCUGUGAACUCUGCAUUAUUUACUCUACUGCUUAAAUACAGUAAUGAUACACUCUUCCUUUUCUUCACCUCCCUUUCCUUUCCUUUCCAUCUAUCACUUUAUCUAUCGCUCUAUCUAUCGGUUUCAUUUCUUAUUCUUCAUUUCUCUCCUUACAUUUCUCUUCUGCUUUGUUUGUUUUUCUUUCUCCUCCGACUCUCUCUCUCUUUUCUUAUAUUAUUCAUCAUUCAUUUUUUGUUUUCCUUUUUUAUUUCUCACAUAUUUAUUUAUUUAAAGCCUUUCCUGUAUUUUCUGUUUAUCUCUUCAUGAAUCCCCCGCUUUAAUUCCUCCUCCUUGUUUGAUUUCUGUCAUUCAUUUGUUCAUUUUUAAAAAAUAGUUUUUCAAAUUUUGAUAUUUUUUCCCCCGCCGUACGCUUUCAUCUUCAGUUUCUUUCUCGGUGUUCCCUGAUGUUUUGCUUCCCUACAGUUCUUUCUUUCUUUUCCUUUCUUUCCUUCGUUCCAUCUUACUUUCAUUCCAUCCUUCCUUCCCUCCAAUCCAAUUAUCCUAUUAUGAACGCUCCCCUUUUGUAUUCCUCCUUUUUCUUCUCUCUCUCUCUCAUUAUUUUUUCUUACUUUGCUGUAGCUUCCUUUCUUCCUUUCCUUCUGUUUCUAUUUAUUCCCACCCUUCCUUUCUUGUCAUUCCCUUAAUUGUUUGCUUCCUUCUUUGUUCUUUCUUUGUUUCUUGCUUCUUCUCAUGUUCCUUUCUGUACAUCUCCCCCUGUUAUUCUGUUCUUUUGCACACGUUUUGUACGUGUGAACGCCGCGCGUGUGCGUGUGAGAGGAGGCGACUCGUCUCCUCUUUAUUAGGGAUUAACAGAUUGACGUCGUUCCUGUCGUUUAUCAUUCUCUCUGAUGCGAGUCCUCCUCUAACACACUCUGACCUGUGAAAGCCAUAAAUGGGUUUAUAAGGUUUCUCACACACACACCUACACACACACAUACACACACGCGCACACACACACCUACACACAUACACACACACACACACACACAGGAAAAUGCUUAAAGCAUUACAGUAUGUCAUAACAGAAAGAUCAGCCAGCGGCUAUUUAUGUUAGCUUCAUAACGAGCGCCAUUAAUGGCUGGCUUUAGCCGUAAACACUCGAGAGGGACGUACAAACAUCCCGGAGAGAGAGAGAAAGGGCGCGACAGAGAGAGAAAGAGAAAGAGAGAGAGAGAGAGAGAGCAGCUGUCUUUAUGCUAGUCAUCUCAUUUUUCCUCUUCAUCCACCUGGAGACUUGAGAAGUAAACAUGGAUUAUCGUGUAGACAUUAGCUAGCGUGCUAACUCCUACUGUGUGUGUACGUUUGUGUGUCUGUGGAUCGUCAAGCGAGUUAGCAAGCGAGUGUGUGUGUGUGUGUGUGUGUGUGGGUGUGUGUGUGUGGAUCAUCAUAUAUUUGCAUGCAAACACUCAUUUUGUGUGAUUACCAGACAGCGUGUUAGCUACCACAAAUCUCUGGAAUACUUUGUGUGUGUGUGGGGGGGGGGGGGGGGGGGGGGAUUAAACUAUGCGGUAAUGAAAACACAGCACAAUGUGUGUGUGAGUAUAUACAGCACGGUGGCAGGAAACAGAAACAGAGUGUCAAACCACAUCGUAAUAACAGCUUCUGAACAGCUGAUGAUGUCCAUAUGUUAGUGCGUGCAUGUGUGCACGAGUCAAGUGUCAUUCGUGAACGAGUCAACUCUCCGAGGUGAUUCGACUCUUACAGGUGAUUCCGUUACCUGGAAUACACCAUGUGAAGGUUUGUCUGAAAGUUCAUCAGUAGUUACUCACAUUCAGUGCAACUGUGAUCGAGAGGGGAAAAGAAAAAAAAAAAGAAGAAAAGAAUCACCUAAAAGAGUCGGAUAAGCUCAAAGAGUCGACUCGUUCAUGACUCCCUGAGGUGGUGAUUCAUUUAACUGCAGUAGAUCCUGCGAUGGUCUGACUGAAACGUGUAUGUGAUCGAGUCAAAUCGUUGCAGUGAUUCGAUGCGCUUAGGUCAAUUUACAGGAUCUUUUACAGUAAAAGCGUCAAAAGAGUCGAAUCUAUUCAAAGCAUCAGGAAGGAGUUGAUCGUUUUUAGCUCUGUGAGGCGAUUCUUUUCAUUAGAUUAAAACUGUAUGUGAUUACUGACGUUAGAGAAUUACCUUUCAUGUUACAUAAACAUGAGUACUGAAUAGUCACAGGAUCAAUUGAAGGUAAAAGAAUCACUUUGAAGAAUGGAAUCAUUUCAGUGAUUUUCAACGAUUCAACUCGUUCAUGUUAGAGAAUUGUUAAUACAGAGUAUUUAAUAAUGAAUUUCUAUCCAAACCAUCACCGGUUCUGCGAUCAUCUAAAAGUCAACUCGUUCACAUUCGCGAUAAAUGAACUAUGUUGGAAUUUUCAACCGAAUCUUCACAGGAUCUAUUUCAGCUAAACGAUUCACAUAGUCAAAUAGUCAUGACUGAGAUAAAAGUCUGAUGUGAUUCGAUUCUUUAAGGCGAUUUGUUUAACUCUUUAAGAGGAUUCUUUUUCCCCCCAAUCACAUUUGCGCUGUAUGUGAUUUACGACGUUAGAGAAUUACGAGUAAAGCAUAAUGAUUCGUUUUCAGCCGAUGAUCUAUUGCAGGUAAAAGAAUCACCUUAAAGAAGCUUUGACUCUCUCAGGUUUGACCAUCGUGAAUACAGAAUAAUGAUGAAUUUUCAGAGAAACCAUCACAUGGUAUCUUUUGCAUUUAAAAGAAUCACCUGAAAGAGUCAUGAACGAGUCAAACAUUUAGGGUGAUUCUUUUAACUCUUUAAGAUGAUUUUUUUUUCUGUCAUAGUUGUGCAUCUGAUUAAGGACAUAGAAUUGUGAAACUCAAACUGUCACCUCAAUCAUGACUCUUUGAGGUUAUUGGACUCUUUGAGGUUGUUUGACUCUGAGGGUAUUUGACUCUUUGAGGUUAUCGGACUCUGAGGUUGUUUGACUCUGAGGUUAUCCGUCUCUGAGGGUAUUUGACUCUUUGAGGCUGUUUGACACUUUGAGGUUAUCGGUCUCUGAGGGUAUUUGACUCUUUGAGGUUGUGUGACUCUGAGGUUAUUUGACUCUUUGAGGUUGUUUGACUCUGAGGUUAUCUGUCUCUGAGGGUAUUUGACUCUUUGAGGCUGUUUGACUCUUUGAGGUUAUCCGUCUCUGAGGGUAUUUGACUCUUUGAAGAUAUCUGACUCUCUGAGGUGACUUUUUACGUGAUGGUUCGGUGUGUGGUAGAAAUGCAUCUUGGGAAUCUUAACAUCAGAAGGCGGAGUGAGAUUUUAUCGAGGAAGUUGAGAUUAAAACGAUAAAUACAACCAAAUACCAAGAACUAGCACCAAUUUCACUGAUUCACUGUAGAGUCGAAAUCCCAUCACUAGUGAGUGUGUGUUAGAGUGUGCAUUAUUUCUUUCCACGCUCCUACACCUAUCUCUGUAAUGGAAUCCACCAAUACAAAGCACCAGCAAACACUAUUACACACACACACACACACACACACACACACACGCCUCAUAUGCUGCAGUGUUUAUGGCUGUGAUAACAAGAGCCAGAUCAAUACAAUACUGAAAGUGUUUCUCUCUCUCUCUCUCUCUCUUUCCUGCUCCCUUUGUCUUCCUCUCUCUCUCUCCUCCUUCUGUCAUUCUCUUCUGUUUCUCUCUUCUUUCCUUUCUGUUAUUGGAGUUACUCUUUUCUUUCUCAUCUCUGCAUCACUCUGUUUCUCUCUCUUCUGAAUCUCACUCUUUUUAUUUUCUUCAAAAUGUGCUUCUGUCCAUCCGUUGCUUACUUUCUCUCUUCCUGCAUGUUUCAGGACACCUCUCUCUCUCUCUCUCUCUCUCUCUCUCUCCCACCCACUCUCUCUCUCUCUGUGUGAAAUCAGGACAGUAUUGAUUCUCUCCUUUGGCUUGAACCCCUCAGCGGUGUGUCACAGGUCGUAUGUGCUCUGUGUGUGUGUGUGUGUGUGUGUGUGUGUGUGUGUGUGUGAUAGAUGGUGCUCUCUGUGCUGCAGUCAUUUUCCUCCUGCUCAUUUAUUUCAGCACUUUCACCAUUUACCAAAGAAUCUCCUUUAUCUUUCCGACACAGAGAGGGAGCGAGGGAGAGACAGACAGAGCGAGAGAGAGACAGACAGAGAGAGACAGAGCGAGAGAGACAGACUGAGCGAGAGAGAGACAGAGAGAGAGAGAGAGACAGACUGAGCGAGAGAGAGGCAGAGAGAGAGAGAGAGAGAGAGAGACAGAGCGAGAGAGACAGAUUUCUGCAGUGACAGCACAAUGCGACAGAGAGACACAUAAAACUUAUCCCUCCAUCGUAUCUCUCUGCACUGAUGCGGCAUUCUUUUUUUUCCAUGCCCUUUCGUUCCUUUUUUCUCCUCCAUAACUCUCUCUGUUCUUCUUUUCACUAUUCGUCCAUGGUACGUUUCCCUUCCACACAUUCAGCCUCGUCUUCUUCUUAAUAAUCUCCCUCCGUUUAUCUUACUUCUUUUUCUGCAUGUGAUAUUCUCCCUUUUUUUUUUUUUUACUUUUCCUUUCAUAGUCUUCUACGAACACUACGAUCUACAAGGCGACCACCGGAUACACGUGAGCCGCUCCGGCGUGUGCGCGUGACACACACGUGUGCCGUCUGUGUGAGAGGUGUGUGUGUACGUAGUGUAAUUACUGAUCAUUGGAGCGCGUGUGAUAUCAAAGACGUGGCAAUUAAGCCUCAUUUGCAUAUCACGUGCACGCAAGACAUCCAGGGGGGAAUCACGUGGGAAAAUGAAAAACACGUGGGGAGAAACGUGAACGUGAAGUCACGUGGGGGGGGGGUGCGGAAAAGAAUCUCUACAAGUGAAAAACCUUAGGGAAAAAAAAAGUCACGUGAAAAAUAAACGUGGAAAAUGAAAAAUUUGACCCAAAAAAAAAGAAUAAAUCACGUGAAAAUGAUAAACGUGGAGAAAAACACGUGAAAUCAAAGUCACGUGAAAUAAAACGUAAAAAAAAGUUUCUCUAAAAGUGGAAAAAUUAAAAUCUGGAGAGAGAAAAAAAAAUCGAUAUUAAAAACAAAAUGCUCUGCGCGUGUAAAAAUGAAGUAAUUAAAAAAAAAGAAUUAACGUGUAGAAAUAAAAACACGUGCACGACACGUCUGAACAGCACGAGUGUAUGAACAGUGAGACUUUUUUCUUCUUCUUCUUUUUUUUAAACAAAUGUUUCUUUCUCUACAUUAAACUGCUUGCAAAUGUAAUUUAUUUGGUCCAGUUUUUAAUCAAGGAUUUCACCACCUCACGUGACACGCCCCCUCCUGCCCCCCCUCCCCCCG
ensembl:lncRNA